GGAAGUAAAAGUCAUAACAAGGUUUCCGUAGGUGUACCUGCGGAAGGAUCAUUAAUGAGUUGUCAUGGGGUUCGAUGCUGGCAGCCAGUUUUUGGAUGCAUGUGCUUGCCCUAACAAUCAUCUUCUUCCAAACACCUGUGCACAUUUUUGAGGGAGUCUUGAGUUGGUUGCCGCUCUUGGGUGAUUUUCUCACAUUCCCUUAAAUCAUUAUACGCUAUUAACAAUGUUGAACGUGCUCUGUGCCGCAAGGCCAUUAAUAUAAUACAACUUUUAACAACGGAUCUCUUGGCUCUC
rnacentral:misc_RNA from 1 species